GACGAACGCUGGCGGCGUGCUUAACACAUGCAAGUCGAGCGGUAAGGCCCUUUCGGGGGUACACGAGCGGCGAACGGGUGAGUAACACGUGGGUGACCUGCCCUCAGCUCUGGGAUAAGCCUGGGAAACCGGGUCUAAUACUGGAUAUGACUCCAUGACGCAUGUUGUGGGGUGGAAAGCCUUGUGCGGCUGAGGAUGGGCCCGCGGCCUAUCAGCUUGUUGGUGGGGNGAUGGCCUACCAAGGCGACGACGGGUAGCCGGCCUGAGAGGGCGACCGGCCACACUGGGACUGAGACACGGCCCAGACUCCUACGGGAGGCAGCAGGUGGGGAAUCUUGGCGCAAUGGGCGAAAGCCUGACGCAGCGACGCCGCGUGAGGGAUGACGGCCUGGUA
rnacentral:rRNA from 1 species